GCCCAUAGUUUAGUUGUAGAGUACAUGCUUCACAUGCAGAAAGACCCAGGUUCAAUUUCUGGUAGCGGCA